UAUUAAAGUACCUGUUUGGAUCCCUUGCA
rnacentral:piRNA from 1 species